AGACCCGAAACCCGGUGAUCUAGCCAUGGGCAGGUUGAAGGUUGGGUAACACUAACUGGAGGACCGAACCGACUAAUGUUGAAAAAUUAGCGGAUGACCUGUGGCUGGGGGUGAAAGGCCAAUCAAACCGGGAGAUAGCUGGUUCUCCCCGAAAGCUAUUUAGGUAGCGCCUCGUGAAUUCAUCUCCGGGGGUAGAGCACUGUUUCGGCUAGGGGGCCAUCCCGGCUUACCAACCCGAUGCAAACUGCGAAUACCGGAGAAUGUUAUCACGGGAGACACACGGCGGGUGCUAACGUCCGUCGUGAAGAGGGAAACAACCCAGACCGCCAGCUAAGGUCCCAAAGUCAUGGUUAAGUGGGAAACGAUGUGGGAAGGCCCAGACAGCCAGGAUGUUGGCUUAGAAGCAGCCAUCAUUUAAAGAAAGCGUAAUAGCUCACUGGUCGAGUCGGCCUGCGCGGAAGAUGUAACGGGGCUAAACCAUGCACCGAAGCUGCGGCAGCGACGCUUAUGCGUUGUUGGGUAGGGGAGCGUUCUGUAAGCCUGUGAAGGUGGCCUGUGAGGGUUGCUGGAGGUAUCAGAAGUGCGAAUGCUGACAUAAGUAACGAUAAAGCGGGUGAAAAGCCCGCUCGCCGGAAGACCAAGGGUUCCUGUCCAACGUUAAUCGGGGCAGGGUGAGUCGACCCCUAAGGCGAGGCCGAAAGGCGUAGUCGAUGGGAAACGGGUUAAUAUUCCCGUACUUGGUGUUACUGCGAAGGGGGGACGGAGAAGGCUAUGUUGGCCGGGCGACGGUUGUCCCGGUUUAAGCGUGUAGGUGUGUGUUCCAGGUAAAUCCGGUUCACUUUAACACUGAGGCGUGAUGACGAGGCACUACGGUGCUGAAGCAACAAAUGCCCUGCUUCCAGGAAAAGCCUCUAAGCAUCAGGUAACAUCAAAUCGUACCCCAAACCGACACAGGUGGUCAGGUAGAGAAUACCAAGGCGCUUGAGAGAACUCGGGUGAAGGAACUAGGCAAAAUGGUGCCGUAA
rnacentral:rRNA from 1 species